GCUUCUUCAUACUACAUUCAUGCAAAAUAUCCCCCUAAGCUGUUAUAACUGAGGGGGAUAUUUUGCGUGAAUGUAGAAUGAGU
rnacentral:sRNA from 1 species